AGAGAGAGAGAGAGAGAGAGAGAGAGUUAUUCUUUAUAAUUGUAAGUUACUUGUCUAACCUUCAUUCUUCCCUGUGUGCAUUUACCAGCUCAGAAUGUAGAGGAGACUCUGGAAGAGAAUGUGUCCCCAAAUUAAAAAACUGUGAUGUGACCCUUGGCCAAUUUAACUGUGGCUUAAGCAGUCUUAAAUGUCGAUGCUGUGCCGUUUGUCAAAAUCCUGAACAAUGCAGGGCACCCUCAGAGAAACUUGUAAUGAAGGUGAAUUCGAAGCGAGUGAUCACGGAACAUUCUGCAAAUGCUGUCUUCCCUGUGAUUCUGGAAUUUGCGAAGGACGGUGUGUUCUCUCCGCUGAGUUCUGCACGGAGAGCGGCUAUGACUUACAAGGUACUUGUUCUCCUCCUGCAGAAAACUGCCAAUGCUGCAUCUUUCUUGGUUGAUUCAUAUAAAAUGUUCAAGAUAUUAAAGAGGUAGAUUUGAUACGAGUGGGUAUAAUAGCAUCACACAUUUUCUCACAAUAUCUCCUUCCUCCUUCCUAAAGAAUAAUAUGUUGAAAUAUGUAAGCAAGUCUUUUCUAAAAGGUACAUUUUCUUGAAUUUUAAAUUCAUAUAAUUCUAUGUACUGUACAUGCAAAUAAAUUUUUUCUUCAUGAAACUAUA
rnacentral:lncRNA from 1 species